UAAUGCAUAUCGAACUUCAUCCUUUGUUGUUCUCAUCAAUCUCUUACGUCCAUUAGAUCCUUCAAGGUGGCCCUCACCUGCAUCAAAUGAGACAUUUGCUGUCAGAAAUCAGAAGUUCUCUGAUCUGGUUGUUAAAUGUUUGAUAAAACUUACAAAGGAAGGCAAUGUUGCCAACCAGAGGGAACAUCUAAUUCUUCUCCUUGCCAAUAUUCACAUUCAGAAAGCUAAUAAGCAGUCUGUCUUGAAGGUAUUCUGAUUGUUAAUUAAGGUUGUAAAGCUUUGGCUUUAUCUAAUCCUCUUAUAUAAAUUUGACUUUAUGAUAUUUGGAGUCUAAUGUCAAAACUGGAUAUUUAUGCAGCAUUGUUCUUUUGUAAAUUUCUAUUUAAUUAGCAUUUGAAACAUUAGUGGUGAAAUUUGGGUUUUCAAUAAGGUCUUCUAUUUCUUUGAAA